AUUGAACGCUGGCGGCAUGCCUUACACAUGCAAGUCGAACGGAGCGGCGAACGGGUGAGUAAUGCCUCGGAACGUGCCCGGUAGCGGGGGAUAACUACGCGAAAGCGUAGCUAAUACCGCAUACUAUUAGAGCGGCCGAUGUCGGAUUAGCUAGUUGGUGGGGUAAAGGCUCACCAAGGCGACGAUCCGUAGCUGGUUUGAGAGGACGACCAGUCACACUGGGACUGAGACACGGCCCAGACUCCUACGGGAGGCAGCAGUGGGGAAGUUUGGACAAUGGGCGAAAGCCUGAUCCAGCCAUGCCGCGUGUGUGAUGAAGGCCUUCGGGUUGUAAAGCACUUUAAGCAGGGAGGCGGUACCAGCAGAAUAAGCACCGGCUAACUCCGUGCCAGCAGCCGCGGUAAUAC
rnacentral:rRNA from 1 species